CCCUAGUAACGGCGAGUGAAGAGGGAAGAGCCCAAGAUUGAAAGCUGGCGUCUUCGGCGUCCGCUUUGUAAUCUCAAGAAGUGUUUUCCGCUUCGGACCAUGCCUAAGUCCCCUGGAAAGGGGCAUCAUAGAGGGUGAUAAUCCCGUACAUGGCAUGGAGCGCCCGAAGCUUUGUGAUACGCUUUCUAAGAGUCGAGAAGUUUGGGAAUGCAGCUCAAAAUGGGUGGUAAAUGCCAUCUAAGGCUAAAUAUUGGGGAGAGACCGAUAGCGAACAAGUACAGUGAUGGAAAGAUGAAAAGAACUUUGAAAAGAGAGUUAAACAGUACGUGAAAUUGCCAAAAGGGAAGGGUAGGAGGUCAGAGAUGCGUCUUGGGAUUCAGCCUUGCUUCUGCUUGGUGUUUUUCCCAAGUGUGCAGGCCAACGUCGGUUUUGGGCACUGGAGAAGGGUGGAAGGAACGUGGCACCUCUCGGGGUGUGUUAUAGCCUUCUACUGGAUACAGCGACCGAGACCGAGGACAGCAGCGUACUCGCAAGAGCGGGCCUUCGGGCACCUUUACGCUUAGGGCGUUGGCAUAAUGGCCCUCUACCACCCGUCUUGAAACACGGACCAAGGAGUCUAACAUGUAUGCGAGUCUUUGGGUGGCAAACCCAUAGGCGCAAUGAAAGUGAAUUCAGGUGGGAUCCGCAAGGUGCACCAUCGACCGAUCCUCACGUCUUUUAAGUCGUGGAUUUGAGUAAGAGCAUACCUGUUGGGACCCGAAAGAUGGUGAACUAUGCCUGAAUAGGGUGAAGCCAGAGGAAACUCUGGUGGAGGCUCGUAGCGGUUCUGACGUGCAAAUCGAUCGUCAAAUUUGGGUAUAGGGGCGAAAGACUAAUCGAACCAUUAUAGAAUGUGCUAGGUGGUUAAGAGGGUGCUAAAAGGGCAACCCUAGUGGGCGCUGAGGCUCGCGACACUGUCAAAAUGCGGGGACACCCUAAAGCUUUCAAUACCAAGCCGGCGUGGAAACACAGUCGGUGGCCGAGUUAAUGACCCUGGGUAUGGUAAAAACUUGAAAGAUGGAACAAUGGGCGAUCCGCAGCCAAGCUCUAAGGGUCGCAAGAUCUAUGAGUGCAGUUCACAGACUAGAUGGCAGUGGGUUCCGAAUGAAAAUUGGGGCUUAAGAUAUAGUCGGUCCUCUCUCGAAAGGGAGCUGGGGGAUGAAAGAUCGAGGUUCUUCAGCAGCAGACCUCUUUCCGGAAGCUCUGGG
rnacentral:rRNA from 1 species